rnacentral:rRNA from 1 species
AUUGAACGCUGGCGGCAUGCCUUACACAUGCAAGUCGAACGGUAACAGGUCUUCGGAUGCUGACGAGUGGCGAACGGGUGAGUAAUACAUCGGAACGUGCCUAGUAGUGGGGGAUAACUACUCGAAAGAGUGGCUAAUACCGCAUGAGAUCUACGGAUGAAAGCAGGGGAUCGCAAGACCUUGUGCUACUAGAGCGGCCGAUGGCAGAUUAGGUAGUUGGUGGGAUAAAAGCUUCCCAAGCCGACGAUCUGUAGCUGGUCUGAGAGGACGAUCAGGCACACUGGGACUGCGACACGGCCCAGAAUCCUACGGGAGGCAGCAGUGGGAAAUUUUGGACAAUGGGCGAAAGCCUGAUCCAGCAAUGCCGCGUGCAGGAUGAAGGCCUUCGGGUUGUAAACUGCUUUUGUACGGAACGAAAAGCCCCGGGUUAAUACCCUGGGGUCAUGACGGUACCGUAAGAAUAAGCACCGGCUAACUACGUGCCAGCCGCCGCGGUAA